AUGUUAAGCAAAAAGGCAAAGACCAAGACCACCAAGAAGCUUCCUCAGUGCGCAACACCCAAUGUAUCUGCCAGGUUUGACCAGUCACAGAUUCAGGAUUUCAAAGAGGCCUUCUAUAUGAUUGCUCAGAACAGAGAUGGUUUCAUCAACAAGGAAGAUUUACAUGAUAUGCUCGCUUAUCUAGGGAAGAAUCCCAUUGAUGCCUCUCUUGAUGCCACGAUGAAUGAGGCCCCAGGACCCAUCAGCUUCACCAUGUUUGGUGAGAAGUUAAAUGACGGAUCCUGAAGACGUCAUCAGAAAUGCUUUUGCUUGCUUUGAUGAAGAAGCAACAGGCAUCAUCCAGGAAGAUUACCUGAGAGAGCUGCUGACAACCAUGGGGAGUUGAUUCACAGAUGAGGAAGUGGACAAGCCGUACAGAGAAGCAUCUAUCGACAAAAACGGGAGUUUCAAUUACAUCGAGUUCACACGCAUUCUUAAACAUGGAGCAAAAGACAAAGAUGACUAAAAGAACUUAAUCUAAAAUCUUCCAGUUGUUUUCUUACUCUUUUUUUUUUUUCGGACACUUCCCCUGCCCUUAUAGAACCUGUUGCAUACAACUUAGUUUCACAGCUUUUUUUUUUUUUUUUGGCAUAUUUAUUCCAGACCUUUCUGCCACCUAGCACUUGUAUACUCAGACUGGAAAUGGGGAUGAGGUUGUAAAUUGUAUUGAAAAAGAGAUCACAAAUAAAAAUAAACAAAUGCUAAAGCCCA